rnacentral:rRNA from 1 species
AUUGAACGCUGGCGGCAAGCCUAACACAUGCAAGUCGAACGAGUGGCGGACGGGUGAGUAAUGUCUGGGAAACUGCCUGAUGGAGGGGGAUAACUACUGGAAAAGGUAGCUAAUAACGCAUACCAUCAGAUGUGCCCAGAGGGGAUUAGCUGGUCGGUGGGGUAACGUCUCACCAAGGCGACGAUCCCUAGCUGGUCUGAGAGGAUGACCGGCAACUCUGGAACUGAGACACGGUCCAGACUCCUACGGGAGGCAGCAGUGGGGAAUAUUGCACAAUGGGCGCAAGCCUGAUGCAGCCAUGCCGCGUGUAUGAAGAAGGCCUUCGGGUUGUAAAGUACUUUCAGCGGGGAGGCGUUACCCGCAGAAGAAGCACCGGCUAACUCCGUGCCAGCAGCCGCGGUAAUAC